UCUCUUCAAAAACCCUCAUGCUUCUCUCUUAAAGAAACUUAGUCGCCGCUGAUUGUGUUAUCGGUUCUGGUGGCUCUUUUAACACCAAAAUCGGAAUUUUUUAGUUUUUUCGAGCUGUAUUUUCGUUUGCCUUCGUUUAUGCUACAUAUAGUUUUUUUCUUAACAUAUAUGUCAGUACAAUGUAAUAAUUUUUUUUUUUAGUUUUCUCGUAACAUGUACCCUACUACUUUUUUUUUCCAACAGUUUAUCAUAUACUAACUCUUUAUGUAAACUCGCAUGUUAAUCAUAAAAAAAACAUUAGUUAAAUAUUUGACCUCAAAUAUAAUAAUGACAUGCACAGUACAUUGGAUAUAUGUUUGGAUGUUUUUAUAAUGUUGAGGUACUUGUGGUUUCGGCAAAUGUGAUUUGGUGGUCCCUUUUUGGUCAGCGUUAUUCUUGUUAAAAAUCUCUCUUUUGGCCCUUUCCUUU